rnacentral:tRNA from 1 species
GUCUCUGUUGCGCAAUCGUUUAGCGCGUUCGGUUGUUAACCGAAAGUUGGUGGUUAAAGCCAACCCAGGAAAG